rnacentral:lncRNA from 1 species
AAAAUUUCUUUCCUUUUUUAUCUUUCCCCUUUUGGGUAGAAAAAGAAAAGAGGAGGAAGCGACGGGUGCUGAACUUCGGCGAUGCGCAGCGGAGCAGUCGUGGUUUCAAUCGCUUUGGGAAGAGAGAAAGACUCGCUCGUUCGGUUUCUUUCCGGUUUGCUGAGAGAGAAAGUCAGCGAAAAACAACAAAACAAAACGCAACCAAACGUUUUCUAAUAACUUUUACACACACAUCCGACGACGACGACGCCUUUACCCGAGUCACUUGGACCGAACAACAAACAAAAGUGAGUCUCCGCUACCGACGGCAACCGAUUGAAAUUCCGGGGGCGUCUGUGUGGCUGCAGAACCCACACACACAAAAAAAUUUCCAGGGCGUUCAUCCACCAGCCACCUCGACCGUUUUUUCCUAAUACGAAAACCGCAAAACCGAGCGAUUCCCAACAACGACAACAACAACAAACAGCUACAACCUCCUGCUUGUUAUUGAGUUUAAAUAGGAAAAAAAAAAUUGAGGGGGGUAGCUGAAAACAGACACAAAAUAUCACACACGAUAGCAAAAUAAGACGGUCAAAUAUAACCAGAUUCUCAUUUUCUAUCACAACAUCCAAUUGUAAUUGUAACAACAACCCAAGUGUCCCCGUCGCACCGAGGGCCCUUAUAAGAAAAAAAGGGUACGAACAGAUAUUCGAUAAGAUGAGAAGCUCUUAAAAGAGUAAACGUCCAUAUCCGAAGAUACGUAUGGCGUAAGAAAGAAAAAAGGGUCUAAACUCUCCGUCAAUAAAAUUACAAAAAAAGAGGAUUUUUCGAGAGAGAAAGGGUCCGACGAAAUAAAAACAUGAGAAAAGGUAGUCGAAUGGAGUCAUAAAAAUUGAGGGGGAAAAAGAAGAAACUUUUUUUUUCUUUCGAUAGAUCGGGGGCCUAUUACCAUGGCUACCGCUUCUUCUUAUAUUUUUAUACUCUGGGGUUUUCGUUUUGAUAUAUAAAAUAAAGAGCUCCGACCAGACCGAGCAUCAGUUGGUAUUUCGGAUCUGACUAAAUCAGACCCCUCAAUCAUCUCAUCUACAUUCGAAAGCCCCACAAAAAAAAACAGUUUCGCGAUAGAUUUUUUUUGUUUUACAAAAAUGUUAAUUUCCUUUCGAUCAAAUCUGUAAAGAAAAAACCGUGUCCGACCCACUUGACGUCACGACCUUAAAAACAGCGCCGCCGCCAUCGUUCCUGCAGCAGCACAAAGUGAAACACCAUUGGGAGCAGCUGCGCCUUCUUUGUGCCAUUGUUGUCAACUCGCUCACCAAUCUUCUUCUUCUUCUUCUGCCUCACCCCGUAGUUAGACUAAUAGCUAAAAUGUAAUAUGUGUACACAGCAAGGCUAGACUGCCAGGCAACUGGCGGGUCACGCAAUCAAGCCCAUGUCGCCCAAAGCGUCCCGACCGACCGACAGAGAGAGAGGACAACUUAUACGACCAUUUCUCUCUCUCUCUCUCUCUUUGCUAUAUUAAAACCCGUCCGCUUGUUCUGCUCGUGUAUUUGGUGUUUGUAAUCCCGACGGAUUCGAGGUUGCAUGUACACAUGUUGUAUAGAUCUGUUAUUAGGGAAACAGAAAGAGAGGGGGACACAUAAUCCAAUUUGGCGGAGCGACAUCACGCGUUCAUUUGUCAAAAAGAAAAAGAAAAAUGUUUACCAAACACCCAGAAAAUCACGAAAUUAAUUCUCGGUGCCUGGGUGGUACCAUAUUUCAUGUAGUCUACAGCAUGUGUUUCAGUCUCAUUUCUUUUCUUUCUUUUUUUUUUCUCUCAGUGUAUUGAUUUUUCUCACCAGACCGCACGAAUUGUAAAAAAAGAAAAAGAAAGAAAAAUGGCAACCGACACACGCAGCCACACACGCUUUUGGGCCGUCUCUCCUUUUUUUUCUCUCCUCUUUUAUAGGCCAGCGAUACAAACCCACACACACAUAUCCAGAAGCGGCACAUAUCAAGUACGAAAGAGAAGGAAGGAAGGAGGCGACCCCUAUGUGUGCCCGAUACGAACGCACAUUGGGUGGCAGUCAGCCGAAGCGGACGGAUGGACACAAAUGAUGAUGGCGUCGCCAGCGGAACAAGCCGGAAGAGGAACAACAACAACAAC